AUUCCAAAGCGCCCUCCUUUUCUGAGAAUGUCUGCAACUCUGUCUCCCACAGGAAACGUUCAUCAUGCUCACCAUCCUUGCCUUUCUUGUUUUCCUUGAGACCACUGGGGAAGAGACCUCAGUGAGCAGAAUGCACAGCCAUGGGGCAGAGGUCUGAGUGUGGGGAUCAGCUCAGAACAUGAGACCAGAUCGCAGACACCCGAGUCACCAGGCUGCAGCCUGCAGAGCUGGACACACUCGCCAUCUGCUAGGGGUGCCUGGGGCUCUGCGGGUGUCCAGCACCGGGAAUUGGAGGCUCCCCACUGGCUAUGGGGUGGGAGUGAGACUGGAUCCUCUGCUUCAGCUCCCCAAGGGAUACAUUGUGAUCUACAGCUCUACCCUUAGUCCUGAAGGAAGUUAAGUAAACUCUGGAGUGGGAAGACUAGUGUUUCCGUCUCCUCAGCUACGUAAACACACCUUCAACUGUAACAUGCUGCAACUAUAAAAUACAGUUUUAUAACAGCCUGU